UACGUAGGGUGCGAGCGUUAAUCGGAAUUACUGGGCGUAAAGCGUGCGCAGGCGGUGAUGUACGACCGAUGUGAAAUCCCCGGGCUCAACCUGGGAACUGCAUUUGUGACUGCAUCGCUGGAGUGCGGCAGAGGGGGAUGGAAUUCCGCGUGUAGCAGUGAAAUGCGUAGAUAUGCGGAGGAACACCGAUGGCGAAGGCAAUCCCCUGGGCCUGCACUGACGCUCAUGCACGAAAGCGUGGGGAGCAAACAGG
rnacentral:rRNA from 1 species